UUAAAAUCCGUCGAUUUUUAAAAUCGUGAGGGUUCAAGUCCCUCUAUCCCCC
rnacentral:tRNA from 1 species